rnacentral:rRNA from 1 species
GAUGAACGCUAGCUACAGGCUUAACACAUGCAAGUCGAGGGGCAUCAGUUUGGUUUGCUUGCAAACCAAAGCUGGCGACCGGCGCACGGGUGAGUAACACGUAUCCAACCUGCCUCAUACUCGGGGAUAGCCUUUCGAAAGAAAGAUUAAUAUCCGAUAGCAUAUAUUUCCCGCAUGGGUUUUAUAUUAAAGAAAUUCGGUAUGAGAUGGGGAUGCGUUCCAUUAGUUUGUUGGCGGGGUAACGGCCCACCAAGACUACGAUGGAUAGGGGUUCUGAGAGGAAGGUCCCCCACAUUGGAACUGAGACACGGUCCAAACUCCUACGGGAGGCAGCAGUGAGGAAUAUUGGUCAAUGGACGAGAGUCUGAACCAGCCAAGUAGCGUGAAGGAUGAAGGUCCUACGGGAUUGUAAAACUUCUUUUUAAUAAGGGGAAUAAAACCCCUCCCACGUGUGGGAGCUUGUAUGUACCUUAUGAAUAAGCAUCGGCUAACUCCGUAG